UAAGGAAUAUUGCUCAAUGGGAGAAAUCCUGAAGCAGCAACGCCGCGUGGAGGAUGAAGGGUCUAUGACUUGUAAACUCCUGUAAAGAAGGAAAAAAUUCCCAUUAGAUGGGAGAUGAUGGUACUUCUGGAGUAAGCCCCGGCUAACUACGUGCCAGCAGCCGCGGUAAUACGUAGGGGGCAAGAGUUGUCCGGAUUUACUGGGGGUAAAGGGUGCUCAGGCGGAUUUGUAAGUCAGAGGUGAAAUCUUACAGCUUAACUGUGAAACUGCCUUUGAUACUGCAAGCCUAGAGUAUGGAAGAGAGUGAUGGAAUAUCUGGUGUAGCAGUGAAAUGCGUAGAUAUCAGAUAGAACACCAAUGGCGAAGGCAGUCACUUGGUCCAUUACUGACGCUAAAGCACGAAAGCGUGGG
rnacentral:rRNA from 1 species